ACCACCUGUUCGACCUGGAGAAGGGCCGGUUCUACGCGGUGAUGGACUGCUUCUGCGAGAAGACGUGGAGCCACACCCCGCAGUACAAGAUCGGCUACUGCCAGCAGUGCCCCGACAAGGUCACCUGGCCGGAGCAUGAGCUGGGCCCUCCGCCGCCGCGCUACUUCAACGCCGGCAUGUUCGUGCACGAGCCGAGCCUGGGCACGGCCAAGGACCUCCUGGACGCGCUGGUGGUGACGCCGCCGACGCCGUUCGCGGAGCAGGACUUCCUCAACAUGUUCUUCCGCGACGUCUACGAGCCCAUCCCGCCGGUGUACAACCUGGUGCUGGCCAUGCUGUGGAGGCACCCCGAGAACGUGAAGCCGCUCGACAAGGUCAAGGUCGUGCACUACUGCGCAGCGGUACGUGUCGCCGUUUGUUUUUUUCUUGCUCAUCAUCAAUUGUAUUUGUACGUAACGAUGGAUGAGAUUGAUACUAAUGAACUGCAACUCGAUCAAAUGCGUAGGGUUCCAAGCCUUGGAGGUACACGGGUGAGGAGGCCAACAUGGACCGCGAGGACAUCAAGAUGCUGGUGAGCAAGUGGUGGGACAUCUUCAACGACGAGAGCCUGGACUACAAGGGCCCGGCGGUGGACGACGACGGGGCGGAGGUGGUGGACCAGGCGAGGGAGCCGCUGCGGCAGGCUCUGGCCGAGGCCGGCGCCGCCAAGUUCUUCCCGGCGCCGUCGGCAGCCUAGGCGGAGCGAUCGGUUCCGUUGAAGGAGGCCGUUAAUAAUACUGUACGG
rnacentral:lncRNA from 1 species